AACUCCAAUUUUCAGAUACGAAACUAUGACCUUGACGGCUUUGUAAAGAAACAGCUUUCUUUUCAGAACACCAUUUACUUUUUCGGCGUGUCGGUAGAUCCUCUUUCGGUCAAAAAUGUCUACGUUUUGGAGACAAGUAGGAAUGAAUUAUAUUGAGUAUUCAGCAAUAUGUUCACGUAUAGUUAAACAAUGUUUAAAACCAGAAUUCAGACCUGCCGAUGUCCCACUGGUAUCCGCCAUCAAAGUGACCAAAUGGGUUGAAGGAAAACCAGUUGCAGAUGCAGGACAGGCAAGUGCACCGAAAUGAUGACCGACGACUAGAAGACCAAGUUAUAUGAACUUUAAUGGAGAUAAUUAUCAUCUCAUGUAUAUAAUAGGAACAAUAUUUACCAUCCAGUGUUAUUUAAAUACUUUUAGAAGUAAAAAAUGUUUGAAAUAAAAUGAGUGUUAAUUUGA